rnacentral:lncRNA from 1 species
GAUCAUAACAACAAACUUUUUGUGAGCAACUUUAAAAUCGAUAAAAAUAAGUUGUGUAUGGAUGAAAAAACCACCUAGAAUGAUCUAAAAUUAAUUUAAUAUUAAAUUUAUACAUUUAAAAUGUAGGUAAGAAAAAGAUGGAGAGGACACAAAAAUUUAAAGAAUUUUUUUUGGGAAAGAGAGUAAAAGAAAGUAAUUAAAAUUUGGUAUAGGAAAUAUAAAUAAAAAAAA